rfam:Candidatus Paracaedibacter acanthamoebae isolate PRA3, complete genome.
UUGAGCCGUGUGCCAUGAAAGUGGCCCGCACGGUUCUUAGAGGCGGGACUAGCAGUAAUGCUAGUCCUGUACUCGAC